UGAAUACGAGAUGCUACGGCGUCGAAGCAGUGUAUGUCAGACUUCCAAGGAAAGCUCGCAAUGUCAUAAAUAAAGAAUGCCUGUACCAUAACCGACACAGGUGGGUAGGUAGAGUAUACUAAGGGGCGCGAGAUAACUCUCUCUAAGGAACUCGGCAAAAUAACUCCGUAACUUCGGGAGAAGGAGUGCCUUCUUUAAGAAGGUUGCAAUAACAAGAUCCAAGCAACUGUUUAUCAAAAACACAGGUCUCCGCUAAGUCGUAAGACGAUGUAUGGGGGCUGACGCCUGCCCAGUGCCAGAAGGUUAAAGAAGUUGGUUAGCUUUUGCGAAGCUGAUGACUGAAGCCCUGGUGAACGGCGGCCGUAACUAUAACGGUCCUAAGGUAGCGAAAUUCCUUGUCGGGUAAGUUCCGACCCGCACGAAAGGCGUAAUGAUUUGGAUACUGUCUCGGAGAGGGACUCGGUGAAAUAGACUUGUCUGUGAAGAUGCGGACUACCUGCACCAGGACAGAAAGACCCUAUGAAGCUUUACUGUAACUUGAAAUUGAAAUUGGACUUUAUUUGCGCAGUAUAGGUGGAAGGCGUUGAAAGUAAUCUUGCGGGAUUAGUGGAGCCAUCAGUGAGAUACCACUCCUAUAAUGUUAGAUUUCUAACUUUGGAUCAUGAUCUGGUCAAAGAACAGUUUCAGGCGGGCAGUUUGACUGGGGCGGUCGCCUCCCAAAUGGUAACGGAGGCGUACAAAGGUUUCCUCUGAACGGGUAGAAAUCGUAUCUAGAGUGUAAAGGCAUAAGGAAGCUUGACUGUGAGACCUACAAGUCGAGCAGGGACGAAAGUCGGUCUUAGUGAUCUGACGGUGCUGAGUGGAAAGGCCGUCACUCAACGGAUAAAAGUUACUCUAGGAUAACAGGCUGAUCUCCCCCAAGAGUUCACAUCGACGGGGAGGUUUGGCACCUCGAUGUCGGCUCAUCGCAUCCUGGGGCGGUAGUACGUCCCAAGGGUUGGGCUGUUCGCCCAUGAAAGCGGUACGCGAGCUGGGUUCAGAACGUCGUGAGACAGUUCGGUCCAUAUCCGGUGUAGGCGUUAGAAUAUUGAGAGGAGCCUUCUUUAGUACGAGAGGACCGAGAAGGACAUACCUCUGGUGUACCAGUUAUCGUGCCAACGGUAAACGCUGGGUAGCUAUGUAUGGAGAGGAUAACCGCUGAAAGCACCUAAGUGGGAAGCCCACCUCAAGAUGAG
rnacentral:rRNA from 1 species